UACGUAGGGUGCAGGCGUUAAUCGGAAUUACUGGGCGUAAAGCGUGCGCAGGCGGUUUCUUAAGUCAGAUGUGAAAGCCCCGGGCUUAACCUGGGAACUGCGUUUGAAACUGGGAGACUUGAGUGUGGCAGGAGGGGGGUGGAAUUCCACGUGUAGCAGUGAAAUGCGUAGAUAUGUGGAGGAACACCGAUGGCGAAGGCAGCCCCCUGGGUUAACACUGACGCUCAUGCACGAAAGCGUGGGGAGCAAACAGG
rnacentral:rRNA from 1 species